rnacentral:rRNA from 1 species
GACGAACGCUGGCGGCGUGCUUAACACAUGCAAGUCGAGCGGUAAGGCCCUUUCGGGGGUACACGAGCGGCGAACGGGUGAGUAACACGUGGGUGACCUGCCCUUAGCUCUGGGAUAAGCCUGGGAAACUGGGUCCAAUACCGGAUAUGACUCCAUGACGCAUGUUGUGGGGGUGAAAGCCUUGUGCGGCUAGGGAUGGGCCUGCGGCCUAUCAGCUUGUUGGUGGGGUNAUGGCCCUACCAAGGCGACGACGGGUAGCCGGCCUGAGAGGG